CCUGCUAUCCUAUCAACAGGUCAGUCAAUAUCAGUAGUGGAGGAAGAAGAGUAGUACCCUUUUUUCAGCUAGUCUUAAUAGUUUAAUAAUUCAACUAGUGGUCUUCUUGCCUAAAAAAAGGAGUCAGCCCAACAUGGGCAAUGAUAGACAGACCAAAGAUUUACGCAGUCGUUGUGUGCUUGCUUUGUGCACCGGCACAGCAGAAUUCGAAGCUGCUCGGCGUACUAGCCCUAUAACGGAGUCAGACCCAACCACACUCUCUUA
rnacentral:lncRNA from 1 species